UGUCCACCAAAUGUGCUUGCAGCCAUUAUGUUCUACCUUGCCAUAAGCCCAGAAUCAAUGAACCCAAGGACUAUAGACUGAAACUUCUGAAAUUGCCCAGAAGCAAUGGAGCCAAAGAUAUAUGGACUAAAACAUCUGAACCUCCUUGAAGAUCCCUGAGGGCAGGGUCUAUGAACAUUUCAUCACCAUCAUAUCCCUACCGUUCCUGGAACCUAAGAGAAGCUAAAUAACCUUAAUAACAGUAUGAAUGGUCAAACUCUGCUUGAGAUACAGCAGACCUGGAUCUUCAGCCAAAGUAUGUUUAGAAGGACAAUUCUCUGAUCAGGGUCUGCAACCCCAAACUUUGCCUUGCAAAGCC